rnacentral:rRNA from 1 species
GAUGAACGCUGGCGGCGUGCCUAAUACAUGCAAGUCGAGCGAACAGACGAGGAGCUUGCUCCUCUGACGUUAGCGGCGGACGGGUGAGUAACACGUGGAUAACCUACCUAUAAGACUGGGAUAACUUCGGGAAACCGGAGCUAAUACCGGAUAAUAUAUUGAACCGCAUGGUUCAAUAGUGAAAGACGGUUUUGCUGUCACUUAUAGAUGGAUCCGCGCCGCAUUAGCAAGUUGGUAGGGUAACGGCUUACCAAGGCAACGACGGGUAGCCGACCUGAGAGGGUGACCGGCCACAUUGGGACUGAGAUACGGCCCAGACUCCUACGGGAGGCAGAAGUGGGGAAUAUUGCACAAUGGGCGGAAGCCAGAUGCAGCAACGCCGCGUGCGUGAUGACGUCCUUCGGGUUGUAAACCGCUUUCGCCUGUGACGAAGCGUGAGUGACGGUAAGGGGUAAAGAAGCACCGGCUAACUACGUG